UAGGGAAUCUUCCACAAUGGGCGAAAGCCUGAUGGAGCAACGCCGCGUGAGUGAAGAAGGGUUUCGGCUCGUAAAACUCUGUUGUUAAAGAAGAACAUAUCUGAGAGUAACUGUUCAGGUAUUGACGGUAUUUAACCGGAAAGCCACGGCUAACUACGUGCCAG
rnacentral:rRNA from 1 species